rnacentral:rRNA from 2 species
CAUGGUUAAGUGGGAAACGAUGUGGGAAGGCCCAGACAGCCAGGAUGUUGGCUUAGAAGCAGCCAUCAUUUAAAGAAAGCGUAAUAGCUCACUGGUCGAGUCGGCCUGCGCGGAAGAUGUAACGGGGCUAAACCAUGCACCGAAGCUGCGGCAGCGACGCUUAUGCGUUGUUGGGUAGGGGAGCGUUCUGUAAGCCUGUGAAGGUGUGCUGUGAGGUAUGCUGGAGGUAUCAGAAGUGCGAAUGCUGACAUAAGUAACGAUAAAGCGGGUGAAAAGCCCGCUCGCCGGAAGACCAAGGGUUCCUGUCCAACGUUAAUCGGGGCAGGGUGAGUCGACCCCUAAGGCGAGGCCGAAAGGCGUAGUCGAUGGGAAACAGGUUAAUAUUCCUGUACUUGGUGUUACUGCGAAGGGGGGACGGAGAAGGCUAUGUUGGCCGGGCGACGGUUGUCCCGGUUUAAGCGUGUAGGCUGGUUUUCCAGGCAAAUCCGGAAAAUCAAGGCCGAGGCGUGAUGACGAGGCACUACGGUGCUGAAGCAACAAAUGCCCUGCUUCCAGGAAAAGCCUCUAAGCAUCAGGUAACAUCAAAUCGUACCCCAAACCGACACAGGUGGUCAGGUAGAGAAUACCAAGGCGCUUGAGAGAACUCGGGUGAAGGAACUAGGCAAAAUGGUGCCGUAACUUCGGGAGAAGGCACGCUGAUACGUAGGUGAAGCGACUUGCUCGUGGAGCUGAAAUCAGUCGAAGAUACCAGCUGGCUGCAACUGUUUAUUAAAAACACAGCACUGUGCAAACACGAAAGUGGACGUAUACGGUGUGACGCCUGCCCGGUGCCGGAAGGUUAAUUGAUGGGGUUAGCGCAAGCGAAGCUCUUGAUCGAAGCCCCGGUAAACGGCGGCCGUAACUAUAACGGUCCUAAGGUAGCGAAAUUCCUUGUCGGGUAAGUUCCGACCUGCACGAAUGGCGUAAUGAUGGCCAGGCUGUCUCCACCCGAGACUCAGUGAAAUUGAACUCGCUGUGAAGAUGCAGUGUACCCGCGGCAAGACGGAAAGACCCCGUGAACCUUUACUAUAGCUUGACACUGAACAUUGAGCCUUGAUGUGUAGGAUAGGUGGGAGGCUUUGAAGUGUGGACGCCAGUCUGCAUGGAGCCGACCUUGAAAUACCACCCUUUAAUGUUUGAUGUUCUAACGUGGACCCGUGAUCCGGGUUGCGGACAGUGUCUGGUGGGUAGUUUGACUGGGGCGGUCUCCUCCUAAAGAGUAACGGAGGAGCACGAAGGUUGGCUAAUCCUGGUCGGACAUCAGGAGGUUAGUGCAAUGGCAUAAGCCAGCUUGACUGCGAGCGUGACGGCGCGAGCAGGUGCGAAAGCAGGUCAUAGUGAUCCGGUGGUUCUGAAUGGAAGGGCCAUCGCUCAACGGAUAAAAGGUACUCCGGGGAUAACAGGCUGAUACCGCCCAAGAGUUCAUAUCGACGGCGGUGUUUGGCACCUCGAUGUCGGCUCAUCACAUCCUGGGGCUGAAGUAGGUCCCAAGGGUAUGGCUGUUCGCCAUUUAAAGUGGUACGCGAGCUGGGUUUAGAACGUCGUGAGACAGUUCGGUCCCUAUCUGCCGUGGGCGCUGGAGAACUGAGGGGGGCUGCUCCUAGUACGAGAGGACCGGAGUGGACGCAUCACUGGUGUUCGGGUUGUCAUGCCAAUGGCACUGCCCGGUAGCUAAAUGCGGAAGAGAUAAGUGCUGAAAGCAUCUAAGCACGAAACUUGCCCCGAGAUGAGUUCUCCCUGACCCUUUAAGGGUCCUGAAGGAACGUUGAAGACGACGACGUUGAUAGGCCGGGUGUGUAAGCGCAGCGAUGCGUUGAGCUAACCGGU